rnacentral:rRNA from 1 species
AUACGUAGGGUGCAAGCGUUGUCCGGAAUGAUUGGGCGUAAAGGGCGCGUAGGCGGCCCGGUAAGUCUGGAGUGAAAGUCCUGUUUUUAAGAUGGGAAUUGCUUUGGAUACUGUCGGGCUUGAGUGCAGGAGAGGUAAGUGGAAUUCCCAGUGUAGCGGUGAAAUGCGUAGAGAUUGGGAGGAACACCAGUGGCGAAGGCGACUUACUGGACUGUAACUGACGCUGAGGCGCGAAAGCGUGGGGAGCGAACAGGAUUAGAUACCCUGGUAGUCCACGCGGUAAACGAUGAAUGCUAGGUGUUGCGGGUAUCGACCCCUGCAGUGCCGGAGUAAACACAAUAAGCAUUCCGCCUGGGGAGUACGGCCGCAAGGUUGAAACUCAAAGGAAUUGGCGGGG